rnacentral:misc_RNA from 1 species
AAAUUAUCAACCAUGACUUGGGUUUAGGCCCUUGUUCUUGGCUUGGAUUUGGGUGCUUGCGGUCUUGUGCUGCUCACCUUAAAAGGAUUAGCUGGACAUGUCUAUUGACUUGGUUCUACUUGGCGUAAUAAGUAUUUCGCUGAGGACAUCCCUUCUGGGGUGGCCAAGACUCUGGCAAACGUCUGCUUUCUAACCUGACUGUCUUCGGACAUCACUUUUAUG